UAUCAAGAAACUAAAAAUCUAUACAAGAUGAUUAAACGCCUUAGUCUCCUCGCAUUCGUCGAAUAUGCCAUCAUCGCCAUUGUUUUUACAGCCAUAACUGUUAGCUCUGAUGAUGCAGCACCAAUACCAGAGGCUGAAGCUGAAGUAAACGCUUGGUUUGAAGCAAAUGUCAAGCCACUGGCAGACCGUAAGGGCACUUUAAAUGCUGACCUUGAAGCGGCUGAAGCUACUCCCAAAACUAUUAAGGUGAGAGCAGACGGAAGUGGAGAGUUCAAGACUAUAACAGAUGCUGUUAAGAGCAUUCCAGCCAAAAAUGCACAACGCGUGAUUGUGGAUAUUGGACCUGGAACCUAUACCGAGAAAAUUACCGUUGAAAAAGAUAAGCCCUUUGUUUCGUUUGUCGGAGUACCUGAGAAGACAAUCAUAGAAUUUGCUGGCACUGCUNNNNNNNNNNNNNNNNNNNNNNNNNNNNNNNNNNNNNNNNNNNNNNNNNNNNNNNNNNNNNNNNNNNNNNNNNNNNNNNNNNNNNNNNNNNNNNNNNNNNNNNNNNNNNNNNNNNNNNNNNNNNNNNNNNNNNNNNNNNNNNNNNNNNNNNNNNNNNNNNNNNNNNNNNNNNNNNNNNNNNNNNNNNNNNNNNNNNNNNNNNNNNNNNNNNNNNNNNNNNNNNNNNNNNNNNNNNNNNNNNNNNNNNNNNNNNNNNNNNNNNNNNNNNNNNNNNNNNNNNNNNAACUCAACAUAUAUUGGAUUUGUUUAUAUGCACAUAAUAUCUUUAUUUAUGAGUGUCAACAUCAACAUAUAUUCUAUGCAGAAUACCCAGUUAGAGGUGCUGCAAGAUAAGGAAAUGACAGUGAUUGUUGCACAAGCAAGAGGAAACGCUGAAGAUACUGGCUUUUCAUUUGUUCAUUGUAGCGUAGCUGGGAAAGCAAAAGGAGCAUACCUAGGCCGAGCAUGGAUGCCAGCUCCUAAGGCGGUAUUUGCAUAUAGUACCAUAAGUGAGGUUAUCUGUCCCGAAGGAUGGUCUAAUAAUGAACAUCCUGAAAGAGAGCCGUAAGAAAUUUUUAACUAAUCUCUUUAAACUCAUAAAAUGACUUAUCUAUAAUACUCAUUUUGCAUAUUUCAAUAAGGUUCUGUGCACUUUGCAGAGAGAUCUUCUUUGGAGAAUUUAAGAAUUCAGGACCAGGCGCAGCUGCUGAUGGACGUGUUAAAUUUGCCAAGCAACUGACUGAAGCAGAAGUAAAACCUUUCAUUUCUCUUAGUUAUAUUGAAGGUUCUAAAUGGCUGCUUCCUCCUCCCAAAUUGUGAGGAGUAUAUUUAUAGGAGGAAGUAUAUGAAUUUGAGCGAAAUGAUGUUUAGGCGUACAUGAAGCCAUCUACUCUGAAAGAAUCCCUUGUUAUUUUGGAAGGCCUAUCUUAUGGUUUUGGCAUCUUAGUUACCACUUGUGAAUAAGCCAGAUUAGAGUAAUAUAUCUGGUUCUGUAAUUUUCCCAACGAUGAUUUUGCAAUUAUCUCAUUUAUCAGUUUCAUUUAAUUUUUAGUCAUUUUAUAAUUAUUAGCCCAUAAAUACAUGUUUUCUCCCCAAUGACAUCAAUUUUCCAUUUGACGGAAACCAGAAAUUGUCUUUCUAAAUACUGAUUAAUAAAUAGAUAUACAAACUAAAUAAGAAGUUGUUUUCGAAUAAUUGUUGAUAUACUAACUAAAUAAGAAAUGAAACCUACUUGAAAUGAUCUUUUAACUAAAAAGGAAAGAUAAAAUCUAACUAAAUAAGCAAAUAUCAUUGCCUUAACUAAAUAGGGACAAAGAUACAUAAUCUAUAAGAAAUAUAAAUAAUAUUUUAGAAUAAUAUCCUAAGAAAUAAACAAUUAUGGAUCCUGACCUUAGAAUUUGAUCCAAAUAACUUGUGUUAACUCUUAAGUACGCAUACACAUUAAAAUUUGUAUCUUUGGAGCCUUGCACUCAAGCUAUGAUCAAUCUUGAUGCAAUAUAAAAUUAAAUCUUUCAUAUUUUAUUUAUUGAAACUUUUGAAGUUAUUUUGAUAGGUGGAGUUUAAAUGAUGGAAUGUAUACAUGUCACGACCCGAAACCAUGGGCCGAACCGGCACUAGGGCCCAGGUAAGCUUAAGGCCCCCGAGAUCUGUAGUAAGCCUGAACCACUAAAAUUCUACUUUUUCAAUAUAAAUUUCAAACAUUUAGCCCAUAUUACUAUGCAAAAUAAAUCUCAUAAAUAUUUUAUACCUCUGCCCAAAUUUAACAUCUUAAACAUUUCACGGAUUGAAUGCAAUUUACAAUACAUCACAUUUAUAAUAUUGGCUCUCAGAAUCGUUUCAUCUAUAUUAGUACACAACUAAAUGUAUGUAAAUUCUACAACUGCGGAGUCACUAACUAUUUGAUAUACAUAACUUUUUAUACAUAUAGUUACAUAGCAAAAUAAUUAUAGAACUAAAAAAAUUUCUUUCUUGCCCUGCGGCGAAGAAAUAUAGCUUAGACCGAAUUUAAGAGAAACUUACUUCCUGAAAAAUUAAAUAAGACAUGUGAGUUUUCUAAGGAGUAAUAAUUAUUUUAUAGCACACUCAUUCACACAAAUGUGUAAAUAUAUCAAUCUAGUCAUCCGACUAGUUAUAUGCUCACGCAGUCAGUCACACAAAUGGUAUAUCACUAACACUUACAAUUAUUAACAUCUUCAUAUAAUCACAUUACGUGGAAAUUGGUCUGUGGCAUCACCAAAACCCCCAAUGAGCCAUCCUCAUACAUGCUCCACCCUCUCAUAAUGUGUGCACCAGGGAGCCGAUCCCUCAUACAUACCCGACCGAUCUAAUCCUCACUUGACCAGCCUUCUCAUUAUUUUUCCAUCCUUUAUUUUCUUUUCCUUUCCAUACCAACAGGAGGCCACCCUGUGGUUUAUCCAUAUUAUCCAUAUCAUAUCAUCAUAUGCACAUGGGAUGCCGAUCUCCCAUACAGCCAAUGGUCUCGUGGACCGCCCUUGCAAACCCAUGAUGACCCACUUCAUCCCAACUCCACAGAUACAAAGCAUAGUAUUAUCACAACACAAUUAAUCAAGUAUCGCAAUUAAAUGCAAGCAUAUUAAUCAAUUAAACAUCGUAAUGCAAUACACAAUUAGACACCCCUAUUCAAAUGCAAAUAAACAAAUCAAUAGUAUUAACAAUAAAAAACAAUAAUAAAAUAAAUAAUGACAAUAAUAAACAAUAAUAAUGAAAAUAAAUAAAUAAUUGAAUAAUAAAGAUAAUAAACAAAUAAUUAGAGCACUUUAUUUAUUAUGUAUCAAAUUAUAGAUUUAUCUAAAUAAGCUCAUUUAUUAUGUUAUUAAUUAAAAUUAGUCUAGGUUCUAUCGAAAUUUUGGCAGAACCUUCCCUAGAAAUAUGACUAUCUACCCAUUUAAAUAUCACAAUAAUAUUAUAUAUUUAUCAAUCAAUACACACAGCUCAUUCGUCAGGCAAUUCACAACAACACCUCCCAUCCGCCAUAUCCAUAAUCACCAAUCAUACCCCAUCCGCCAUAACCAUAUUCAUCCAUCACGCACACAUAUAUGCACUUAAUAAUUCAAAACCAAUUAAUUAACAAUUUAUAUUAGCCUCCGAGCAAGUUCCAAUAAUAUUAUUAAUUGUCCUGUAACUAAUUACCAAAUAUCUAAACAAUUUAUAAAUAAAACUUGGUUCGCUACUCUCAGUUGAUAGUUUUUAGACCUCUAAUUAUUAAGAAACUUCUACAUUCUUGCUUAAAAAUUCUAUACUAGCCACCGGGAACCAAUACUAAUUUAAAUUACAAUCGAAUGUAUACACCUACUAAAUAAUUCAACUCGCCGUUGGCAGGAAAAUCGUGGUUGCUCGAAACCGAGCACUCUUCACACCAUCUGACUUGGCUUGCUGUCAGGAGCCCGUUUCUCGCGUUGGUUGGGCGAGAUUGGUCCUCCAUCUGGCCGGAGCGGGCUCGGUUUUUGCUGCGCCGACUGGAACAAACAGAGAGAGAAGGAGAGGAGUUACGCCAUCGGGGAAGUGCCGGAGCCACCGACUGCGCCGGGAUCGACGGAAAACCAGUGGAGGCGCUUAUGCGCCGUUCGCCAACGAAGGACCGCGGCUCGCCCCGCUGCUGCGUUCUCCAGAAACGAGAACUGAAAGAGAAGAGGCACCGCAGGACGAUGGUGGCGCGACGGAGGAGGAGGUUCGGUCGACUCAGGUGGCCGGAAACGGAAGAGGAAAGGGAGGCACGGCGCUGGUGGUGGUGGCGCACGCUCUGGCCCUCGCCGGAAAAAUGGGGAAGGAGGGGAAAAACGAGUGCUGCCGCUAGAAAAGGAGGAGAAGAAAAGAAAAGAAAAGGAAAGAAAGAAAAAUCUGGGUCUUCUAGACCAUUUCGGUUCGAUUCGAACCGGUUUGGUCUAAUUCAAUAAUUCGGCUCGAUUUUUGUUCGGUUUCAGGUUUUUCACUUGGUUUUCAGAUUAUUUGUGUGGUUUUCAAAAAAUCAAUUUGAUUUCUGGGCCCGGUUUGAUUUAUUUUGAUUAUUUUAGUUAGGUUCUGUAACAUUUCCUCUAUUUAUUCAAUAAUAAUAAAAAUAUUAAUAGUAGUGAUAUUUGAUUUUUUUUUAGGAUAAUUAAUUUAUAUACAUUCAUAAUAGAUUAAUUGCUGGAGUUUCAUAUUAUUUCUCAAAAAUUUAACUAUUCUCAAAUCGGAAAUUCCGAUAAUAUAUUUAGACUUUGGGCCAACUCGCAAAACUUUGAGUUUAAAUUAAGAUUGUUUGGUGUUUAUAGCCAAUAUAAUUGAAAAUUAAAAUUUUUGAUUUAAUAAAAAUUUGAAAGUUUCGAAAAUAAAAAUUUAGGCAUUUCAAUACGUUUCUCGAAUUUACCAGAUUCUUUCAUUUAAUUGGGAAAAAGAUGAAGUAUACUCCAUGGAAUUAACAGAUUCCAUCGUAUCUCCAUUUCAUUAAUUUAGAAGAGAAAAAAAUAUCAUCUCAAUGUUGGAAUUUUCUCAAUUCUAUCACUUUUAUUAAUAAAGUAAAUUAAAACAUUUAAUUUUGUUCUGAAAAUAUCUUUUAAAACUAUGGAUGAUAUUUUUCGUUUAAAUAAUGGAAUAUGAAAUUCCAUUGAUUUUACAAUCCAUAAAUUUUAUAGUUGGAGAAUUUGGUAAAUUCUAUGACCAAAGUUCAUCAAUUUAAAUGAUCUCCUUAAGAAUAAAAAAUUGUGAAGUAAGACAGUUUUUUAAUUUUUAAUAAUGGUUGUACAUUUGUUUUUUUUUUUUUUUUUAUAUAUAUAAAACAUUGUACAUUUGUUGUUAGUCUCUUGCAAGUUGCAUGUAAAUUGUUGAUUUUUUUUUUUUUUUUAAGUUUCCGUAUGCUAUAAAUAAAUAGAAAUUUAUUGUUCAAGAGCAGUACUAUAAAUUAGCACAUUCAUUAAAGUUUUAAUAACCAAACUUUAUGAAAUUCAAAUAUAACUAUAUUAAAUUCUAGAAUUUAUAAACUAUGAAUAACUCCUCGACCGUAAGCUUUAGAAUCUGACUGAAUUAAAAAUCAAUUCAGGCACGGGAUGACAAAAAAAAAAAAAAGUAUUUUUAGAAAAUUAUUUCAGUAUUUCUUGUAGUGUACUUUUAGAUCCGGUUAAAGCCCCACCCAUGAAAAUAGAAAUUUUUUAAAAAUUAUUUCUACUUUAUUCUUUUUUUCCUAUUAUAUGAUCAUAAACGUAUAUUUUUCAUUUGUUAUAUAUGAAUGGAUCACAAGUCGAUCCCUUAAUUUUAUUUUCAUAAAAACGGUCAUUUCUUUUCUUUCCUUUUUCCCCUUUCAAUAGUUAAAAGCGACUUUAGUUUUAAUGUCUGGAUUUUUUUAUAUAAAAUCAAGAUAGUUUUUUUUUUUUUUUGACAGUGCAAUUGUGAUUAUAUAUUAUUAACAUCAAAAGUCAAAGCAUCCAAAAUAAUAGUUGGAGGACAAUAGCCCCGCUCUAAUGAGCCAGACUCAGAAACAACAACUCUAGCCAACUGAUAAACACACUGAUUCGCUGACUUCUUAAUAAAGUUAACACUAAUAGCAAUGAACUUUUUUAAGAGAGUUUUACAAUCUGAAAUAAUGGUCUCGAAAUAGGACAUAUCAAUCUUAGUACUCUUCAAAGCCUGAAUAAUUAUCAUGCAAUCUGUCUCCAAGUCAAUCACCGACUGCAAAUACCCCUGACCCUUCAACCAACUCAAAGCUUCUCGUACCCCUAUAGCCUCAUCUAAUAAUGCAUUAAAGCCCCCAUUUAUCCUAGUCAGCUUCCCGCCUCUACUAUACCCAUGCCAAUCACGUAGAAGCCGGGCAACACCAGCAUGUGAAUUUUGGGAAUAAAAGGCAACAUCAACAUUACACUUCAAACCAGACCCUGUAGGUGGUUUCCAUUGGAAUUGGAAAGGAAUAGCCACCACUCGUGAAACAACUUUGGCAGCCUAAGCCGUUACCCAUUCUUGAACCACUUGCUUAGCCCGAUACACACAUUCAUGGGUAUUGGCAAUACCUCUCUCCCAAACAACGUUAUUACAACUUAACCAACUACUCCACAGAAGGCAAAAAUACAUACCCCACUUAUUACCAUCAACAGUCUCUCUAAUAUGAAUAAACCAUGCCUGCAUAUCGCUAAAGCCAGUCCAACUCUGACCAUCCAGCAACUGCCAACAUUGCCUAGCAAAAUAACAGAGAAGAAAAAGGUACUGAUGGGAUUCGCACUCAACACCACACACAGGACACUUGAUCAACAACUCCUUGACGACGGUAGAGAUUUUGCUUGACCGGACGAAUAUUAUGCAAUAAACGCUAAACAAAAUUUGCAACUUUUGGAGGGACGGGUACCUUCCAUAUCUCAUCUCAUCGAAUUGCACUACCAUCAUCAUCUGAUAUCUGCUGAUCUACUAUAAGCUUGUACCCACUACGAACAGAGUACACACCCCAUGGGUCCCACCACCACAUCCAGCCAUCCACCCCCAUAGCACCAUUCAUAUGGCACAUUACAAAUUUAUAUUUUUUGGGAAUUGGUUCUGAAAUAUGAAGAAUGCGAUCAAUCUCAUUCUUAGUAAAAAGCAAGUUCAGAAAUUGAAUAUCCCACACACUUCCGUCUGGCAGCGGUAAAUCAGAAACCAGAAGCCCAUCCACGCCUGAAAUAUUAUCACUUAAAAUAAAAGGGUGAGAUGGGUCAGGCAACCAAGGACUAUUGUAAACUUCAGUAGUAUGACCAUUAACAAACGAUGCAAACAACCCGCCUUUAACAGCUGUUGACUCUUAACAGUAGAUUUCCACACAAAGCUUGGAUUGCAUCCUACUUUAGCCUGGAAAAAAGAGCACUCCUUAAAAUAACGUGCCUUAUAAACACGAGAAACCAGUGCAUUUGGAUCUUUUAAGAACUUCCACCCUUGGUUCGCCCGUAGCGCCAAGUUAAAUUCACGUAUAGUUCAAAAUCCAAGCCCACCAUCUGAUUUUGCUUUGGCCAACCGCUUCCACCUUUGCCAAUGAAUACCAGAGUCAUUAUCCAUUGAAGCCCUCCACCAAUAUCGAUUCAUCAACUUUUCAAUGGCAUCAAAGUAUUCAACGGCAAUAAAAAAACACUCAUAAGAUAGUUCGGAAUGGCCUGCACACAGUCUUUAGUAGAACCUCUUUUUCGACACGAGAUAAUAGAUUCCCUUACCACCCUUGAAGCUGCCGCCACACCUUAUCAACCAUAAAAUCAAAAAACUCCCUCUUAUUCCUCUCGACGAAAAUCAAAAGCCCCAAAUAUUUAGAAAAAGAAUCUGUCUUACAAACAUUAAGGAGACCACAAAAUUAUACCUCGAUCAGUCGUUGUUAUGUUGGUAGUGGACACUAUUUCAGAUUUUUCAUAAUUAACUUGCUAGCUUGACACUCGCUGAUAUAGAUCUAAACAAUGUUUAAUCAUAAAAGCUUCUGUUGCAGAGGCCUGAAAAAAAUACAAUGCGUCGUCCAUAAAAAAGAGGUGACUUAUAAUCGGGGACCGCACACCACCUUACAACCAGUAAUUUGUUGUCGUCGUUCAAAGCUCCUGAGAAGAUAAGAUAGAGCUUUAGCACAAAUAAUGAACAGGUAAGGGGAUAUUGAAUCACCUUGACGCGAGCCUCGACUUGCAACGAUCAGACCAAAAGACAAACCAACAUGACAAAUUGAUAAGUCACCCUGGUAAUAUGCUUCAUGAUUUUAUCCACCUAGGCCUGAGCAAAACCCAUUGGCAACAUCAAUUCUCCCAGAAACCUCCACUCAACCCUAUCGUACGCCUUAAACAUAUUAGUUUUUAAAGUUGCAAUCCCUGCACUUCUCUGAGAUUUACGCUUCAAACAGUGCAUCACUUCAAAAGCAAUCAUUGCAUUAUUAGCAAUCAAAUGAUUCAGAAUGAAAGCACUCUAGGCUUCAUCAAUAAUCAAAGGUAAGACCCUUUUCAAUCUAUUUGCCAUAGCCUUUGCCACAAUUUUAUCAAUAACAUUACUAAGGGAAAUUCGUCGUAGAUCCGACAUAAACUCUGGACAUUUCUUCUUAGGAAUGAGAACAAUAUUAGUCUUAUUAAGUCCUGGAAGAGGUGCCCCCACUAUUCAGACAAGCACGACCCACAUCCCCACCAACUAUUGGCCAAAAGGCUUGGAAGAAAGCAGGGUUAAAGCCAUCCAGUCUAGCUGCUUUAUCAGGAUGCAUGAUGAAAAUCGCAUCCUUGUCUUCACUCAUCGCAAACGACUCCAGAAGCUCACUAUUAUGUUCUUCCAAAAUCUUAGGUUCCACACACUGAAGACCUGUAUCAAACUCCCCUUGCUAUGAUCGGAAUAAAUUAACAUAAUACUCUAUAAUGAUCUUAUCCAGUCUGUUAUCCCAAACAACCCAAGCACCAACGGUAUCACGCAACUGAUUGAUAGCAUUUUUUCAUCUUCUACGAGAUGCCAUCAAAUGGAAAAUAUUUAAUAUUAAGUUAACCAUCUCGCAACCAUAAUUGCUUUGACCACUGCCACCAAUAAGCCUCUUGUUAGCCAAGGACUGCCAUAUAUGCCUCAUGCGCUAUUCGAUAUAGUGUAAUAGAGCAAGCGUCAUGUCCCCCCUUAUAACGAUGCAUUUGAUUUUUGCUCUGGCGCAACUUUGCUUUAAAUUCUAUAUGCUUGUGAUUGCCCCACUUAUGAAGAGCUGCAACACGGUUAUAAAUUCGUUCCAAAAUAUUCAUACUAGUCCUCGGAAACCAAGCUGCUUGAACAACCUCAUGGAAAUUCUCUUCACACAACCAAGCAUUCUCAAACUGAAACAGACGGGGGCAUAACGAAUUAUUGUAAUACCCAACCCCAUAAAAAUAGCAUUGUGAUCACUCUGGGUUGCUUCAAAAUAAAAAAGUUGGGCAAGGGGAAAUUGCCUUAACUAACUAUCUAUUGCCAAACAUCUAUCAAGCCUUUUUGAAACCCAGCCUACAGUACCACGUCCUCAUUCCGAAGUAAACUUAUUGCUAGUGUAACCAGUAUCAAACAGACCACUAGAAGCAAUAGUGCGUCUAAAACUGUUAAUGAGACAAGCAGGAUGAUUAAUACGACUUGCCUUUUCAUUAUGAGCCAAUAAGUCAUUAAGGUCACCCCCAACACACCAUGGUAAAGACGAUUUGUUUUUCAAAGAGAUCAACAGGUUCCAAGACUCUCAAUGAGGACUUCUCUCAGGCAAACCAUAAAAACCUGUAAAUCUAUAAGGCUUAACACCAUCCAUAUAAAUGCCAACAUCAAUAUAAUUAUUAUUAUAGCCAAUAAGAGAACAAGAGUUUUUAUCCUUCCAUAACAGAGCAAGGUCCCCGCUAUGACCAUGUUGGUUAACAACAAACAGGCCUUCAAAGCCCAACAACCGUCUGACUUUUAGGUAAAGUAAAGUUUCAAAUGCAUUUUACAUUGUUUUUUUAAUGUGAAAAAAAAAAAUAUUUGUAUUUAUUUUGAAUUACAAAAUAACUAAAGAAAAAAAAAUUAGAAGUGACACAAGCCACAAAUUUCAAACAAGAUACACGAGAAACACUCCCAUUACCGCAAAAGAAAGCAAGAGAAUGCGAUAAACUUUCUAAAUCUCAAUUGUAUUAAGACUUUUUCCUCUUCAGUGUUAUAUAAAUUGCGACAUUCAUAAUAAAAAAGAAACAAGACACAUAUCAAGAAACUAAAAAUCUAUACAAGAUGAUUAAACGCCUUAGUCUCCUCGCAUUCGUCGAAUAUGCCAUCAUCGCCAUUGUUUUUACAGCCACAACUGUUACCUCUGAUGAUGCAGCACCAAUACCAGAGGCUGAAGCUGAAGUAAACGCUUGUUUUGAAGCAAAUGUCAAGCCACUGGCAGACCGUAAGGGCACUUUAAAUGCUGACCUUGAAGCGGCUGAAGCUACUCCCAAAACUAUUAAGGUGAGAGCAGACGGAAGUGGAGAGUUCAAGACUAUAACAGAAGCUGUUAAGAGAAUUCCAGCCAAAAAUGCACAACGCGUGAUUGUGGAUAUUGGACCUGGAACCUAUACCGAGAAAAUUACCGUUGAAAAAGAUAAGCCCUUUGUUUCGUUUGUCGGAGUAC
rnacentral:lncRNA from 1 species